AAGAUGAUACUCUCAAGAAUCAUGAUCGUUCUAUACAGUUCAUUACUAGGGGAAGUUUCUCUAAAUAUGUAGAGCGCUGGAAGCCAUGAGAAGGAGUCUUAGCGUUGUCGCCUGAGCAUGAAGCAGGCUCUUGUUGCUUCACUGCAACCACCAUGUACCAUUGAUGAUGGUUCUUCUCUUCCUCCAGGAGAGUAAGAGGGAAAGAAUGCAGUCUGAGUGGU
ensembl:snoRNA U3 Small nucleolar RNA U3